UACGUAGGGGGCGAGCGUUGUCCGGAUUUAUUGGGCGUAAAGGGCGCGUAGGCGGCCAUGCGUGUCUUCCGUGAAAUCCCUCGGCUUAACUGAGGACGUGCGGAAGAAACUGCAAGGCUCGAGUCCGGGAGAGGGGGGUGGAAUUCCCAGUGUAGCGGUGAAAUGCGUAGAUAUUGGGAGGAACACCGGUGGCGAAGGCGGCCCCCUGGACCGGUACUGACGCUGAGGCGCGAAAGCGUGGGUAGCAAACGGG
rnacentral:rRNA from 1 species